rnacentral:rRNA from 1 species
UGGAUCCAGACUUUGAUUAUGGCUCAGGAUGAACGCUAGCUACAGGCUUAACACAUGCAAGUCGAGGGGAAACGACAUCGAAAGCUUGCUUUUGAUGGGCGUCGACCGGCGCACGGGUGAGUAACGCGUAUCCAACCUGCCCACCACUUGGGGAUAACCUUGCGAAAGUAAGACUAAUACCCAAUGAUAUCUCUAGAAGACAUCUGAAAGAGAUUAAAGAUUUAUCGGUGAUGGAUGGGGAUGCGUCUGAUUAGCUUGUUGGCGGGGUAACGGCCCACCAAGGCGACGAUCAGUAGGGGUUCUGAGAGGAAGGUCCCCCACAUUGGAACUGAGACACGGUCCAAACUCCUACGGGAGGCAGCAGUGAGGAAUAUUGGUCAAUGGGCGAGAGCCUGAACCAGCCAAGUAGCGUGCAGGAUGACGGCCCUAUGGGUUGUAAACUGCUUUUAUAAGGGAAUAAAGUGAGUCUCGUGAGAUUUUUUGCAUGUACCUUAUGAAUAAGGACCGGCUAAUUCCGUGCCGGCAGCCGCGGUAAUACGGAAGGUCCGGGCGUUAUCCGGAUUUAUUGGGUUUAAAGGGAGCGUAGGCCGGAGAUUAAGCGUGUUGUGAAAUGUAGACGCUCAACGUCUGCACUGCAGCGCGAACUGGUUUCCUUGAGUACGCACAAAGUGGGCGGAAUUCGUGGUGUAGCGGUGAAAUGCUUAGAUAUCACGAAGAACUCCGAUUGCGAAGGCAGCUCACUGGAGCGCAACUGACGCUGAAGCUCGAAAGUGCGGGUAUCGGACAGGAUUAGAUACCCUGGUAGUCCGCACGGUAAACGAUGGAUGCCCGCUGUUGGUCUGAAUAGGUCAGCGGCCAAGCGAAAGCAUUAAGCAUCCCACCUGGGGAGUACGCCGGCAACGGUGCAACUCAAAGGAAUUGACGGA